CCUGGUUGAUCCUACUCGUAGUCAUAUGCUUGUCUCACAUAUUAAGCCAUGCAUCUCUAAGUAUGAACUAAUUUAGACUGUGAAACUGUGGAUAGCUCAUUAAAUUAGUUAUACUUUUUUUUAUGGUACCAUACUACUUAGAUAACCGUAGAAACUCUAGAGCUAAUAUGUGCACCAAGUCCUAACUCUUUGGAAGGGAUGCAUUUUUUAGAUAAAAGAUCGGCGCGGGCUUGCCCGCUUCUCCAAUGAAUCAUGAUAACUCAACAGAUCACACAACACUUGUGUUGGCGAUGCUUCAUUCAAAUUUCUACCCUGUCAACUUUCGAUGGUAGGAUAGAGGCCUACCAUGGUGGUGACGGAUGACAAAGAAUCAGGGUUCAAUUCCAAAGAGGGGGCUUGAUAAAUGGCUACCACAUCCAAGGAAGGCAGUAGGCAUGCAAAUUACCCAAUCCUGACAUGGUGUGGUAGUGAAAUUGAAUAAUAAUACUGGGCUCAUCGAGUCUGGUAGUUGGAAUGAGUACAAUCUAAAUCCCUUAACGAGGAUCCAUUGGAGGGAAAGUCUGGGGCCAGUAGCUAUGGUAAUUCCAACUCCAAUAGCAUAUAGUUAAGUUGUUGCGGUUAAAAAUCUUUUAGUUGGAUCUUGGGUCGUAAAAGUCAAUCCGCCUACUCAAUGUGCACCUGCUCUUCCAUCCCUUUUGUUAGUGGCAUGCUCCUGGCCUUAAUUGGCUGGGUUGCAGCUCUGGAACUAUUACUUUGAAAAAGUUAGAGUGCUCAAAGCAAGCUUAUGCUCUGAAUACAUUAGCAUGGAAUAACAUGAUAGGAUUCUGGUCCUAUUGUCUGAGCCUUCGAGACCGAAGUAAUGAUUAAUAGGGACUGUCGGGGAUAUUCGUAUUUCAUUGUCAAAGGUGAAAUUCUUGGAUUUAUGAAAGAUGGACCACUGUGAAAGCAUUUGCGAAGGAUGUUUUCAUUAAUGAAGAAUGAAAGUUAGGGGCUCGAAGACGAUCAGACACUAUCCUAGCCUGAACCAUAAAUGAUGCUCACUAGGGAUCGGCGGAUGUUGCUCUAAGGACUCUGCCAGCACCCUCUAAGAAAUCAAUGUGUUUGGGUUCCGAAGGGAGUAUGGUCACAAGGCUAAAGCCUAAAUGAAUUGAUGGAAUGCCACCACCAUGAGUGGAGCUUGUCACUUAAUUUGACUCAACACGGGGAAACUUACCAGGUCCAAACAUAGUAAGGGUUGAUAGAUUGAGAGCUCUUUCUUGAUUCUAUGGGUGGUGGUGCAUGGCCGUUCUUAGUUGGUGGAGCGAUUUCUCUAGUUAAUUACAAUAACGAAUGGGACCUCACCCUACUAAAUAGCUAUGUGGAGGUUCCCCUUCACGACGAGCUUCUUAGAGGGACUAUGGCCUUUUAGGCCAUGGAAGUUUGAGGCAAUAACAGGUCUGUGAUGCCCUUAGAUGUUCUUGGCCACAUGCACGAUACACUAAUGUAGUCAAUCAGUUUUUCUUCCUGGUUUGAGAGGAUCAGGCAAUCUUCUCAAAUUGAAAAAUUGCAUCAUGAUGGGGAUAGACCACUUCAAUUAUUGGUCUUCAACGAGGAAUUACUUGUAAGCGCGUGUCAUCAACUUGUGUUGACUACAUCCCUGCCCUUUGUACACAUUGGUCAUCACUCCUAACGAUUGAAUGAUCCGGUGAAGUGUUCGAAUUGUGUCAACGAUAGUGGUUCACCACCGUCGAUGUCGUUUGGAGUUCAUUGAACCUACGGUAGGAUCAUUG
rnacentral:rRNA from 1 species